rnacentral:tRNA from 1 species
GGGCCCAUAGCUCAGCCUGGUUAGAGCGCAUCCCUGAUAAGGAUGAGGUCCCUGGUUCAAAUCCAGGUGGGCCCACCA